AUGCACAACGGAUCGAGCUCGCAAGUGUUCAUCAUGCCCGCUGCCGGCCAUGUCCACUACCUUGUCGCGGGAGGCUCCGGAGGAGGCGACGAGCCCAGGUACCCCUGGACCUUCAAGUCCCUGCACGAGGUGGACGCCGUCGUCCCUGCUAUCGCCCGUGGCAGCAAGAGGCCGGCCGCCGUCCCCGGUGGAGCACAGGUAGAGCCCUACGGGUGCCCCAUCUGCUUCCGCGUGUUUGCCACUGCCAAGGCCGUCCAUGGCCACAUGCGCAGCCACACGGACCGCACCUGGCGCGGCAUGGAGCCGCCCCGGCCGCCGCCCCUGGGCGAGAUCCGUUACCCGUACGUGUGCGACCGCUGCAAGAUGCCGUUCCAGACGCGGCAGGCGCUCGGCGGCCACCGCGCCAGCCACAAUGGUAAGAAAGGCUGCUCCUGGCUCGAAAGAGAGGAGCUCGCCGCCGCCGAAGAAGCUCGGAAGCCCGUCGUGUUCAGCGUUGAUCUGAACCUUCCGGCUCCCGAGGCAGAUCAGGAACAGGGGGAGGAGUAG
rnacentral:rRNA from 1 species